GCAAAUCAUAUUAUGGGCGCACCAGAAAUUUUCCGAGUGUCUCUCCCACUCCAGUCGACUCCAUCUCCGGUCACUUACGAUCAUCCCUCCUUCCCAAAAUUUUCGUUCCUGCCUCAAAAACCAUAUCUCGUUUUUCAAAUUCAGUCAAUUUCAACCAAACCCAUGUGGGAACUUAUGGGCAAACUCCCUCAAAUUUCUUCCAUAGAAGGAAAACUCAAAGAAAAAUCAGAGCUGGUGGAGACUAAAGCUCUGCAAAGACCGUUGAUGAAAUGCUCGAGGCGCUUAAAGAUUGAUAAUCCUGUUAUGUGGAGAAGGGUCUUGAACUGGCAUCCGUAAGGAUUGGUCAGUUAGUAGACCGAGAAGGUGAGGAUCCUGAAAAAAAAAAAAAAAAUUCUGUUAUAUGCUUAUUUAGCUUUGAAUCUCUGUCAUGGCUCUGCAAUUAAUAGGUUCUGUUGACAAUUUAGGGAUUCUGAAUAUUGCUAAUAGGAUUUAGUGCUGAGGAUUCAUGUUGUGCAAUGUUAAGAAGUAGAGAUUGAGCUCUUUCUAAUGUUAGAAAGAAAGUGUUUAGAGAUCGAGUUAACCUUGAAGAAGGAUGGUGGAGAAUUGGGGAAACCAAUUUUUCAUAUAAGAGUGUCCUUCCUUUUUGUAUGAAGGCAUUGGAGAAAUAUGAGAUGGAAUUGGGACAUAAUUCAGUUGAAGUUGCCUAUGAUAGGAGGCUUUUGAGAGGUGGUUUAAUGUUGGUUUGGAAGAGCAUAAAAAUGCAUUGGAGCAGAGUGAAUUGUGUCAAAAGGCUUUUAAUUGAAGAAGUAGUUGUACUCUCAACUCGAGGAUGUUGUUUAUAAGUGUUGUGUUGAUCUAAUCAGGAAACAGACAUAGAUGGAAAGAGAUGAUUGUAAAAUUUUUGUCAAGAAGUAAUUUCUUCGGUGGUGGCAUUUGAGGCAUAUAUCAUUAUACCGAUUCAAAAUGAGCCAAUGAAUGAGUUUGAAAUUAUACUUUCUUUGUUAAAAAGAUUGGUAGCUAUGCUUGAUAAGCUUCUAGAAGAGCAACACUCAAAUGGUAGGGCUUCUGCUAGAAUAGGUUGGUUAAUGGUGACCAGUUAGGUUCAAUUAUCCAUUCCAUACUUGGAGAGUCCGACAUAUUUGGAGAUUGAGAGAGUCGGCUGCGCAGAUGUUUGCAAUAACAAAGGACUUUGUGGAGGUGUCAGUUGGUUCCAAUCAUGAAGAUUCAUUUGAAGCCUGCUAGAAUCUUUUCGAAAGCAUGUAGUGCAAUAGAAAGGAAAAAAAUUGUAGAGAAGUUUUGCUUUUCUAUCCAAUUUUCAUGAUGAAAACUUUGUUUGCACUCACCUGGGUUCAUUACGACAGGUUCGCAAUUGAGAGCGAUUCUUGAAUUCAUGAAUUUGAUUCCCUUUUCUUUUUUGCUGAUGUGGUAAUGUUCUUUGUAAUUGAAUUCCAAGAGCAAGUGAUUGAUGCUUGUAAAAGCCAUGGCUCAAGUGCAGAAGAUACGGUUAAAGAAUACUAACAGCCUCAAACAAUUGAAGAGGAAAGCAUGUUGUACGUCCAUAAUUAAGCUCUUGACAAAACCAUUCCUGCUACCUCAUGGGCCGACAUCUUCCAAAUUUUGCGGCUCAGUAUUCAGGGGCAGCCAGAAAUCUAGCCAAAACACAGUAAACCCAAUGAGCUAUUUUACUCUCCAGACAAGUGGUCGGAUCUGAUGACACUUCUGUGUAAGUUCUAUCCUUGAAAAGCUCUGAUAUUUGGGUUAAUGUUUCUUUAUAAUUUCGGUCGAAUCUUGUGUGCAUAGCUGGAAUAAGUUUGAAGUCUCACAACCCAUGUUUUGCAUUUAUGUCUGCUUAUCCUGAUAGGAAGAUAACAUAAUUACAGAGAGGUAUGUACUCUGGGGAAAGUAAAAUUUCUGUCAUUUUUUGUUUCAACUCAAAUAAUGAUAACUUUAUAGGUGUAUCUGUCACUUUGUUUCUUCAAAAUUAACUAUGUUCAUAGUGUAAA